UACGAAGGUCCCAAGCGUUAUCCGGAUUUAUUGGGUUUAAAGGGUGCGUAGGCGGCUUAUUAAGUCAGUGGUGAAAGCUCCAUGCUUAACAUGGAAAUUGCCAUUGAUACUGAUGAGCUUGAGUAGAUUUGAAGUGGGCGGAAUGUGUCGUGUAGCGGUGAAAUGCUUAGAUAUGACACAGAACACCGAUUGCGUAGGCAGCUCACUAAACUCUUACUGACGCUGAGGCACGAAAGCAUGGGGAUCAAACAGG
rnacentral:rRNA from 1 species